rnacentral:rRNA from 1 species
GACGAACGCUGGCGGCGUGCUUAACACAUGCAAGUCGAACGGAACGGCCCUGCCUUUGUGGGGUGCUCGAGGGGCGAACUGGGGAGUAACACGUGAGUAACCUGCCCCUGACUUUGGGAGAACUUCAGGCAGCUGGGGCUAAUACCGGAUAGGAGCUCCUGCUGCAGGGUGGGGGUUGGUAGGUUUCGGCGGUUGGGGAUGGACUCGCGGCUUAUCAGCUUGUUGGUUGGGUAGUGGCUUACCAAGGCUUGGACGGGUAGCAGGCCUGGGAGGGUGACCGGCCACAUUGGGCCUGGGCUACGGCACAGCCCCCUCCGGGAGGCAGCGGAGGGGUAUAGUGUACAAUGGGAGGAGGCAUGAUGUAGCACAGCAGCGUGCGGGAUGUCGGCCUUCGGGUUGUAAUCCGCUUCCGCCUGUGCCGAGGCGUGAGUGACGGUACUGGGUAAAGAAGCACCGGCUAACUCCGUG